AACAGCUAAAAUUUACUUGAUAUUGACAUUUAUCUACAUGGAUAACUGUGGUAAUUCUGGAGCUAAUACAUGCAUAAAAGCUUUACCUUUAUGGGUAAGGUGCAGUUAUUGGAUCAAAAUCAAGCAUCUUCGGAUGUUUAAGAUUGACUUCAAAUAAUUACACAGCUGAUCGUAUGGUCUUGUACCGACGACAAGUCAUUCAAGUGUCUGACCUAUCAACUUUCUAUAUAAGUAUAUAGUACUUAUAUGGUUUUGACGGGUAACGGAGAAUUAGGGUUCGACUCCGGAGAAAAUGCCUGAGAAACGGCGUUUACAUCCAAGGAAGGCAGCAGGCGCGAAAAUUACCCACUCUCAGUUCGAGGAGGUAGUGACGAGAAAUGACAAGAUCUAGUCCUUCGGGGCUGGAUCAUUGGAAUGGUUUGAUUUUAAAACCAUUAAAGAGUAUCAAUGAGAGGGCAAGUCUGGUGCCAGCAGCCGCGGUAAUUCCAGCUCUCAUACUGCAUUGAAUUGUUGUUGCGGUUAAAAAGCUCGUAGUUGGAUCUCUACACGAUAGGUUGGUGUAUCCUUUGGAUUACUACUAAUACUAAGUGUUUUUUACAAGUUUUUAUAUACUUCGGUGUAUAUGACUUGUGAGUUUACUUUGAAUAAAUCAGAGUGCUCAAAACAGGCGUAAGCUUGUAUGGUUUUGCAUGGAAUAAUAGAACAUGACUAUGGUUCAUGUUUUAUUGGUUUUACUUACCAUAGUAAUGAUUAAAAGGAACAAACGGGGGCGUCCGUAUCAUAAGGCGAGAGGUGAAAUUCGUGGACCCUUGUGAGACGAACUACAGCGAAGGCAUUU
rnacentral:rRNA from 1 species